rnacentral:lncRNA from 1 species
AAUACUCGACGUUGAAUCGAGGUUUUGAAUUUGCUUUUAAAAUGGAAAGGGAUUUGGAAAUGAUUUUGAAAAAUGUACUUGAUGUUGAUCAAACACCUUUGAUUUUAGUAUUUUUGAAAGGUUAAUUUUAAUAGUCAUUUUGUCUUUUUGGAUUAACAAAUUAUGCAUCAACUAAAAAUAUAAUAAAAUAACCUAAAAAACAAAGCAAUAAAAAGGGUAACAAAAAUAAUAACAGGGAGGG